UACGGGAGGCAGCAGUGGGGAAUAUUGCACAAUGGGCGCAAGCCUGAUGCAGCCAUGCCGCGUGUAUGAAGAAGGCCUUCGGGUUGUAAAGUACUUUCAGCAGUGAGGAAGGUGGGUAUGUUAAUAGCAUACUCAUUUGACGUUAGCUGCAGAAGAAGCACCGGCUAACUCCGUGCCAGCAGCCGCGGUAAUACGGAGGGUGCGAGCGUUAAUCGGAAUUACUGGGCGUAAAGCGCAUGCAGGUGGUUUGUUAAGUCAGAUGUGAAAGCCCGGGGCUCAACCUCGGAAUUGCAUUUGAAACUGGCAAACUAGAGUACUGUAGAGGGGGUAGAAUUUCAGGUGUAGCGGUGAAAUGCGUAGAGAUCUGAAGGAAUACCGGUCGGCGAAGGCGGCCCCCUGGACAGAUACUGACACUCAGAUGCGAAAGCGUGGGGAGCAAACAGGAUUGGAUACCCUGGUAG
rnacentral:rRNA from 1 species